UAUCUGACAAUAGAUGGCGUUGCACU
rnacentral:sRNA from 1 species